AUGAUGGCGGCGGGGCCUCGGUUGCCCUACUUCUGCAUGGGGAAUCCCGGAUCUGGAGCGGUGGCUCCAUUGGCAAGGCACGGUUGGCUAGCAGCCGUGCGGGCGGUGGAUCUGGUGUCCCGGCGGCGCGGGCGGCGGGAUCCGGUGGUCGUUGGUGGUCGGCGCCGGCUUCUACGGCGGCCGGUGCGUGCGAUCUAG
rnacentral:rRNA from 1 species